UCAAUAAUAACUUUGGCAGCAUUAAUA
rnacentral:piRNA from 1 species